UGACGAAGCGACGCCGCGUGUGGGAAGAAGGCCUUCGGGUUGUAAACCACUGUCGGGAGUUAAGAAGUGUAAGGGUGUUAAGAGCAUCCUUGCUUGACGUUAGCUCCGGAGGAAGCCACGGCUAACUCUGUGCCAGCAGCCGCGGUAAUACAGAGGUGGCAAGCGUUGUUCGGAAUUAUUGGGCGUAAAGAGCACGUAGGCGGCCCUGCAAGUCAGCUGUGAAAUCCUUCUGCUCAACGGAAGAACGGCAGUUGAUACUACAGGGCUCGAGUGCGGGAGGGGAGAGUGGAACUUCUGGUGGAGCGGUGAAAUGCGUAGAUAUCAGAAGGAACGCCGGCGGCGAAAGCGGCUCUCUGGACCGUAACUGACGCUGAGUGUGCGAAAGCUAGGGGAGCAAACGGGAUUAGAUACCCCGGUAGUCCUAGCCGUAAACGAU
rnacentral:rRNA from 1 species